AAUUACCCACUCCCGGCACGGGGAGGUAGUGACAAAAAAUAACGAUACGGGACUCUAUUGAGGCCCCGUAAUCGGAAUGAGUACACUUUAAAUCCUUUAACAAGGAUCCAUUGGAGGGCAAGUCUGGUGCCAGCAGCCGCGGUAAUUCCAGCUCCAAUAGCGUAUAUUAAAGUUGUUGCGGUUAAAAAGCUCGUAGUUGGUUCUGCGUGCCGCGCUGUCGGUUCGCCGCCUGUCGGUGUAACUGGCAUGUCGCGGCAUGUCCUGUCGGUGGUGAAUGGAAUCCCUGGUUCAGACUAGGCUUUACUGCCGAAGUUUGUUCCGUGGUGAUACCGUUUGCCGAUUUCUCCUACUUCGGUGCUCUUAAACGAGUGUCGAGGUAGGCCGACACGUUCACUUUGAACAAAUUAGAGUGCUUAAAGCAGGCUGAAAUAUCUGCCUGAAUAGUGGUGCAUGGAAUGAUAAAAUAGGACCUCAGUUCUAUUUUAUUGGUUUUAGGAAUAUGAGGUAAUGAUCAAUGUGGACUGGCGGGGGCAUUCGUAUUGCGACGUUAGAGGUGAAAUUCUUGGAUCGUCGCAAGACGCACUAGAGCGAAAGCAUUUGCCAAGUAUGUCUUAAUUGAUCAAGAACGAAAGUUAGAGGUUCGAAGGCGAUCAGAUACCGCCCUAGUUCUAACCAUAAACGAUGCCAGCCAGCGAUCCGCCGAUGUUCCUUUAAUGACUCGGCGGGGAGCUUCUACCCGGGAAACCAAAGCUUUUGGGUUCCGGGGGAAGUAUGGUUGCNAAGCUGAAACUUAAAGGAAUUGACG
rnacentral:rRNA from 1 species